rnacentral:lncRNA from 1 species
AGCCUAGCCCUUGCCCUUGACAAUGCUGCGACACGCAGCAGCCCAGGAACGGGCCCCGGGGAGCCCCGCGCGCGCUGCGGCUGCCGUGCUCGCGAUGAGAAGACUGGCAGGCCAGGAUUCAAACUCGUGUCUUCUGAUCCCUGCAUCACACUGCCUUCCUUUUGAGGUAGGAGCAAAGGCAGAGGGGCUUGUGGCAGAGGAGGAAAUAAGAAGGGGAGCCCUCCCUGGCCCUGGGGUCACACCACACAAGGCCUUCUUCUGACUGAUUGGAGAUGUUUCAUGAUGAGACAGACACCUGGUCUUUUACCUGUGUGGUUUGUUAACCAUUCUUUCUGACUCAAGUAUCACCUCAUAUCAGCCACUCCUCAUCCACGUCAGGGGUUGUCGGUGUUUCCCUUGUAAGAUUACCUGGAAUUGGAAACCUUCCUGGCAAUGGGUCAUGAUACAGUACAAAAAUGUAAAAACUUGCUGCCCUCCAGAUUUCAUAACCUGAUAAAGUGAGUCAUUUCCAUAAAAGAAUUCUCUAAAGGGGCAGUUGAGUCUCUGCCAGAAAAGUUGAGGAAAGGGGAAGGGAGAACACAGAACUUACUGCUAAACCUGAACAUAUUUUUUCUGGCUUUGUUCCUUAAGAGCUAGGUGACCUUGGACAAAUCAUUUUACCUAUCUGAGACUCAGUUUCCACACCUGCAAAGAUAAUGAAAGGGUUGAGCUAGAGUAAUCAAUUAAUAAACAUUAAGUGCCUGUUAGGCA